CAGCCACUCAGCAUUUAUUAUCGGCGGGGCGGGCGGCUGGCAAAGCAAGUGCAGCGGGAGGUACAGGAUUGUUCUGCAGGCUGGGGUCCGAUCGCAUGUUCAGCAAUCACAAUGUUGAGCAAGCCUGGAGUGUGGGGAGUGCCGGACAUUAGGGGGUGCCUGUGCGCACCAGGCACCCCCCGUGAGCACGCCUAUGCUCUUACUGAUAAAUACCCCUUUACUUACACAGAUACCACUUAUUGACACACAUACAUACUUACUGACAAACACCACUUACUGACACAGAUAAAACUUACUGACACGGACUCCCAUUACUGACAGACACCCCUUACCGACACAGAUACCCCUAACUGACAAAAACAUUGACACAUACUUAUUGACACAAACACACUUACUGAUAGAAACCCCAUACUGACACACACCAAUUACUGACAGACAUUACACACACACACACACACACACACACACACACACACACACACACACACACUUACUGACAGAGACCACUUACUGAAAUAUGGGGAGAGGGUGACCUCCAGGCCUGGUGUGCGCUGCACCCGAACAGGUGCACGUCUGCUCCGCUGUGAAAUCCACGACCCAGCUCUCUUCGCAGAAAUCCACGAUCCAGCCUACUCACCAGGGUGGCUUUUUUCCAUUUGCCGUCGGAGCUGUGUAUCAGGGUAUCACAGAAGGCGAGAGAUGUAAGAGCAGAGAGAAGACGAGUAAUAGAUCUGAGACAGGCAAUUCACGGCUCAGUAUGCUUCAUGUUUUACAACAGCUGGAGCACCACAGGUUACCCAGAACUGGCAUAGAAGAAGGCACCACCUCAUAUGUAAUACCAGUCAUACAUUUGUUUUCCUAAGAGGGCCAGCAAUACAGGUGACAUGGACCCAGGGGAUUAUGGGAAAGGUCCUCUCCAUGAAUGGCUCCUUCCAAACAUCGUUCUACAUAUCAAAUCAACAGAGUAAUGCCUGAUAUGAUUUUCCGCCAUUUAUUGAGCUGCUUUAUAAUCGCCUGUCCAUCGGAAGAAUGAAACAGUGCGGUGUGAGAUGUAAUUACAGAGAGACGUGCACCUGAAUAUCUACAUUCCAUUACUGCAGAUCAGGACACAGAAACAGAGCGGAGGAAGAAGUAAAAGCAUGAACUGAGGAAUAUUGCUGAUGAAUGUGGAACUUGCCACGGCUGGCUUAGCUUUGUAUCGAUUAAAGAGCGACGAGGAAAGUCAUAUUUUUCCUUAUUUAGUUAAGCAGUUUAGUAAUGUGCAUU